rnacentral:misc_RNA from 1 species
CGCAUCUUGCGCUCCUUGGUAUUCCGAGGAGCAUGCCUGUUUGAGAGUCGUGAAUAACUCAAUUUCAAUCUUUUUGUUUGAAAUUGGAUUUGGAUGUUGUUGUGAGACAUGUCACAACUCAUCCUAAAUGCAUUAGUGGUCAUGACUUUUGAUCAUAAAACAAUGUAAUAAGUAUCAAAAAGCAUCGUCAGUAUCGAAGUCAAGAUUGCUUCUAACUGUCGAAAGACACUACAUUUAUGUCAUUUGACCUCAAAUCAGGUAGGACUACCCGCUGAACUUAA